rnacentral:rRNA from 1 species
UACGUAGGGCCCAAGCGUUAUCCGGAGUGACUGGGCGUAAAGAGUUGUGUAGGCGGCUUGUUAAGCAGAUAGUGAAAUCAUGUGGCUCAACCAUUAUGACUAUUAUCUGAACUGGCAAGCUCGAGAAUGGUAGAGGUUAUUGGAAUUCCCUGUGUAGGAGUGAAAUCCGUAGAUAUAGGGAGGAACACCAAUGGCGUAGGCAGAUAACUGGACCAUUUCUGACGCUGAGACACGAAAGCGUGGGGAGCGAACCGG